ACAAUGGACGGUACAAAGAGCUGCAAGACCGCGAGGUGGAGCUAAUCUCAUAAAACCGUUCUCAGUUCGGAUUGUAGGCUGCAACUCGCCUACAUGAAGCUGGAAUCGCUAGUAAUCGCGGAUCAGCAUGCCGCGGUGAAUACGUUCCCGGGCCUUGUACACACCGCCCGUCACACCACGAGAGUUUGUAACACCCGAAGUCGGUGGGGUAACCUUUUUGGAGCCAGCCGCCUAAGGUGGGACAGAUGAUUGGGGUGAAGUCGUAACAAGGUAGCCGUAUCGGAAGGUGCGGCUGGAUCACCUCCUUUCUAUGGAGA
rnacentral:rRNA from 1 species